rnacentral:rRNA from 1 species
GCUACACAUGCAGUCGAGCGGCAGCACAGAGGAACUUGUUCCUUGGGUGGCGAGCGGCGGACGGGUGAGUAAUGCCUAGGAAAUUGCCCUGAUGUGGGGGAUAACCAUUGAAAACGAUGGCUAAUACCGCAUGAUGCCUACAGGCCAAAGAGGGGGACCUUCGGGCCUCUCGCGUCAGGAUAUGCCUAGGUGGGAUUAGCUAGUUGGUGAGGUAAUGGCUCACCAAGGCGACGAUCCCUAGCUGGUCUGAGAGGAUGAUCAGCCACACUGGAACUGAGACACGGUCCAGACUCCUACGGGGAGGCAGCA